rnacentral:misc_RNA from 1 species
AGCACCAGGCAUUCCAUUGCCAGUUUGCCACUACAAGUAGUUGCAGCAGCAGCUAAUCAGUCAGCAACUAGGCACCAAACCAUCACUUCACUCCCACCUCUCUGCGCCCUGCACCUGCACAUAGGUACUACGAUCACCACACGCGCACCAAGCCCAAGAACCGUGCGCGCGCCAUGGCCGAGAAGCCGCCUCUGUCGGCCAAGCCUCCCCUGCCGUCCAAGCCGAGGCCUAAGGCGGCGUCGGCGGCAAGGCCGACAACGACGACGCCGGCCCCCGGCAGCAGGCCGGCCGCGUCGCCCUUCAAGAAGCCCACGCUCGCGCCGCCGCAGGUGCUCCCGCUCAAGCCGCCGCCGGCGCACCAGUACCGCCAGCAGCAGCAGCAGCAGCACCCGGCGCCCCCGGGCGGUGCCCGGAAGCCGCGGGCGUACCGCCAGCAGCAGCCGCACCCGCACCGCCGCGGCCGCGGGUGCUCGUGCCGCCGCGCGUGCUGCCUGGCCACGGGCCUCGCGCUGCUCGCGCUCUGCCUGGCGCUGGCCGCCGCCUGCCUGGCCUACCUCUACUACCGGCCGCGCGCGCCGUCGUUCCACCUGCAGCCGCUGGCCCCCGUGCGCCUCCGCCUCGGCAGCAACGCCUCCACCGUGGACGCCACCGUCGGCGCCCGCGUCGUGUCGUGGAACCCCAACGAGCGGGUCGAGUUCCGGUACGGCGACGGCGAGGGCCGCGUCGCGCUGGCCGACCCCGACGGCGACGUCGCGCUCGGGUGGGCCCCCGUGCGGGGCUUUGCCCACGCGCCGCGCCGCGUCGCCGCCGUCGCGUUCGUGGCCACCGCCAGGGGCGUCGUGCUCGACGACGCCGUCGCGGCGCGCGUGCGCGACAGGUACCGGCGGCGGCGGCAGGGGUUCAGGGUGGUCGUGGACGCCCACGUCGGCGUCCGCGUCGGGGCGCUGCGCACGGGGAUGGUGCCGCUCAGGCUGCUGUGCGAUGACGGCGUGAUGGCGCCGCGCGCUGUGGGGUCGUCCGAUGGGGCCGUGGUGGGGCCCAUGACCAAGUGCCAGGUGCUCCUGUUCAGAGUAAGAUGGUUUAGCCUGAACUGAGGGAAAAUCUGGAGCAAGGCAGCUAUAGCUGACCAUCGAGCUGAUACCCAGAGGCGCCGGAGCUGCAGACGCCGUAAAUUAUCUGCAUGUGUUUGCCGACAAGAUGAAGGUGAUUGAUUUGCUACGGACUUUUUGAUUGGUGAUGGAUGCAUGGUCUGAAGACUCCGAAGCACACGUAGAAAACAAAGUUUGUAACUGUAUAUUACACUCCAGGUCCCAAUUCUUUUGAUUGUGUGGUGUAUACAUUAAUACAUAGCAGGAAUGGAAAGAACGAUGGGUGUGUUCCUGUCAGUCGAAAGUUGAAACACAUACAAUUGUUUCUCCAUUGCCUUAAAACUAGUAUUGAGAUGACGACUCUGAUCUGA